rnacentral:rRNA from 1 species
CCACCCUUGAAAGAAAGCGUAACAGCUCACUGGUCUAAUAGCCGUCCUGCGCCGAAGAUGUACCGGGGCUCAAGCCAUACACCGAAGCUGCGGGUGUGCCCUUCCUACGGGAAGGGUACGCAGUAGCGGAGCGUUCCGUAAGCCUGUGAAGGCGUACCUGUGAGGGGCGCUGGAGGUAUCGGAAGUGAGAAUGCUGACAUGAGUAGCGAUAAAGAGUGUGAGAAACACUCUCGCCGAAAGUCCAAGGGUUCCUGCGUAAAGCUAAUCUGCGCAGGGUUAGUCGGCCCCUAAGGCGAGGGCGAAAGCCGUAGUCGAUGGGAAUCAGGUUAAUAUUCCUGAACCUGUGGGUGGUGACGAAUAGCGUAAGUUGUAUCUCCUUAUCGGAUUGGAGGUGCCGCGAAGCUGUUCCAGGAAAUAACCCCCACGUGAGACCGUACCCGAAACCGACACAGGUGGACAGGUAGAGCAUACCAAGGCGCUUGAGAGAACUCUGCUGAAGGAACUCGGCAAAUUACUCCCGUAAGUUCGCGAGAAGGGAGCCUCAUCAUGAAGAUGAGGGGCACAGACCAGGGGGUGGCGACUGUUUA